CGCCCUUAGAGUUUGAUCCUGGCUCAGGAUGAACGCUGGCGGCGUGCUUAACACAUGCAAGUCGAACGGUACGGAGCUUGCUCUGUAUCAGUGGCGAACGGGUGAGUAACACGUGAGCAACCUGCCCCUGACUCUGGGAUAAGCGCUGGAAACGGCGUCUAAUACUGGAUAUGUGACGUACCGCAUGGUUGCGUCUGAAAGAAUUUCGGUUGGGGAUGGGCUCGCGGCCUAUCAGCUUGUUGGUGAGGUAAUGGCUCACCAAGGCGUCGACGGGUAGCCGGCCUGAGAGGGUGACCGGCCACACUGGGACUGAGACACGGCCCAGACUCCUACGGGAGGCAGCAGUGGGGAAUAUUGCACAAUGGGCGCAAGCCUGAUGCAGCAACGCCGCGUGAGGGACGACGGCCUUCGGGUUGUAAACCUCUUUUAGCAGGGAAGAAGCGAAAUGACGGUACCUGCAGAAAAAGCGCCGGCUAACUACGUGCCAGCAGCCGCGGUAAUACGUAGGGCGCAAGCGUUAUCCGGAAUUAUUGGGCGUAAAGAGCUCGUAGGCGGUUUGUCGCGUCUGCUGUGAAAUCCGGAGGCUCAACCUCCGGCCUGCAGUGGGUACGGGCAGACUAGAGUGCGGUAGGGGAGAUUGGAAUUCCUGGUGUAGCGGUGGAAUGCGCAGAUAUCAGGAGGAACACCGAUGGCGAAGGCAGAUCUCUGGGCCGUAACUGACGCUGAGGAGCGAAAGGGUGGGGAGCAAACAGGCUUAUACCCUGGUAGUCCACCCCGUAAACGUUGGGAACUAGUUGUGGGGUCCUUCCAGGAUUCCGUGACGCAGCUAACGCAUUAAGUUCCCCGCCUGGGGAGUACGGCCGCAAGGCUAAAACU
rnacentral:rRNA from 1 species